UCGGGCUCUAAGUCCAGAUUCCUGGCGACACGUUGGAAGCACCGCGCCACUGGAAGACAGCCACACAACGCUAAAGGCUCCUUAGAGGGCAUUUGCUUCAUACCCCCAUUUUACAGAGCAUAUGAAUUUAGGCAUUUAUCUGCUGGAGGGGGAAGGGAUGAAGAUUCUUUCCAGAAAAUAUACAAAGAGAAAGAAAAGGAACAGUGUGUGACAUGAAAGACCUCAGACGCUGUGCAGAUUUUUGACAGUUCUUCAGAAGACAGCGCCCUCUGCCUGUUCUGUUCAGUCCUAGUCCAGGUGAGUCACUGCGUUUUCCGCCAGGCAAGUAUUUUAAGACAUGAGAAAUCUAAACCAAUACCAGCAAAGAAAGGUGAGGGAUGGAUUAUCGCCAUUUGCUUUGAUGGUUGUCAUGGUGCUGGGGAAACUGUUCCCAGUUAGAUUCCCACUCGCUGCUGUUUUGCUGGUGGCCAGCCCGACGCCGGCAUGAGACAUGGGUGUGUGCACAAAUGUACACCUGCCAUUGACACCCACUUGGGUCAUGGUUACAAGGCUGUGCUCACAUGGAUGGCAAACCUGCUUCCCAACAUCAGCUUGCAAGGAGCCAGCAGGACCCCACCAGUUGCCCAGCUCCAGGGAGAGAUCACUGGAAGUUUUGGAGCAGAGUCAGUGACUGCAGGAACCACCUCCCCCUCUGCUCCCUGCUUCAGCUUGUGGCUCUGGAAAAUGCCCCAUCUCCAGUCUCUUAAAUCUCUUAAGGCUCGGGUCGUCCGCCAUUCUAAGGGGCAAGGGAGGGCUUUGCGGUCUGUGGGAGCUGGGACGAGGGGUGGGCAUGCUGCCCACCAGCAAUGCCUGGAGCCCAUGGUCAGGUGCAAGCCACACCCUGGCACUGCCUGGGAGGACGGCCUCCUCUGCCUGAGUCUACACCGCGAAGCUCUGCCUGCCUGCACUGAAGGGGCCUCGGGGGCUCUGAGCAGGAAAGGAGGCCCUGUGGUCACCCUGUAGGGUGACCCACACUGUAGGAGCCUCAGGAGGAAUUGUGCUCCACCCUCCGACUUCCCUCAGGGCUGCGCCCCCACCUCCGGCUCCUCUUUCGCCUGCGCUAAUGGGGGAUGGAGGUUGGGGUGGACUACAGUAGGAGCGGGGAGUGGGGGGCUACCUUGCUACCUGGAUUUUCCUAAAUUUCUUUAAUUAAACUAAGCCUUUAUAUAAAUGUGAAAACCAA